rnacentral:tRNA from 1 species
UAUUCUAAUUAAACUAUUCUUUG